rnacentral:rRNA from 1 species
GAUGAACGCUGGCGGCGUGCCUAAUACAUGCAAGUCGAGCGAACAGACGAGGAGCUUGCUCCUCUGACGUUAGCGGCGGACGGGUGAGUAACACGUGGAUAACCUACCUAUAAGACUGGGAUAACUUCGGGAAACCGGAGCUAAUACCGGAUAAUAUAUUGAACCGCAUGGUUCAAUAGUGAAAGACGGUUUUGCUGUCACUUAUAGAUGGAUCCGCGCCGCAUUAGCUAGUUGGUAAGGUAACGGCUUACCAAGGCGACGAUGCGUAGCCGACCUGAGAGGAUGAUCAGCCACACUGGAACUGAGACACGGUCCAGACUCCUACGGGAGGCAGCAGUAGGGAAUCUUCGGCAAUGGGCGAAAGCCUGACGGAGCAACGCCGCGUGAGUGAUGAAGGUCUUCGGAUCGUAAAACUCUGUUAUUAGGGAAGAACAAAUGUGUAAGUAAAUAUGCACGUCUUGACGGUACCUAAUCAAAAAGCCCCGGCUAACUACGUG